GUCGAGCGAACAGACGAGGAGCUUGCUCCUCUGACGUUAGCGGCGGACGGGUGAGUAACACGUGGAUAACCUACCUAUAAGACUGGGAUAACUUCGGGAAACCGGAGCUAAUACCGGAUAAUAUAUUGAACCGCAUGGUUCAAUAGUGAAAGACGGUUUUGCUGUCACUUAUAGAUGGAUCCGCGCCGCAUUAGCUAGUUGGUAAGGUAACGGCUUACCAAGGCAACGAUGCGUAGCCGACCUGAGAGGGUGAUCGGCCACACUGGAACUGAGACACGGUCCAGACUCCUACGGGAGGCAGCAGUAGGGAAUCUUCCGCAAUGGGCGAAAGCCUGACGGAGCAACGCCGCGUGAGUGAUGAAGGUCUUCGGAUCGUAAAACUCUGUUAUUAGGGAAGAACAAAUGUGUAAGUAACUAUGCACGUCUUGACGGUACCUAAUCAGAAAGCCACGGCUAACUACGUGCCAGCAGCCGCGGUAAUACGUAGGUGGCAAGCGUUAUCCGGAAUUAUUGGGCGUAAAGCGCGCGUAGGCGGUUUUUUAAGUCUGAUGUGAAAGCCCACGGCUCAACCGUGGAGGGUCAUUGGAAACUGGAAAACUUGAGUGCAGAAGAGGAAAGUGGAAUUCCAUGUGUAGCG
rnacentral:rRNA from 1 species